CAAAAUGUAGCUUAAGUAAAGCCUCUCGCUUACACCUAGAAGAUGUCUACUAACCUAGAUCAUUUUGA
rnacentral:tRNA from 1 species